rnacentral:lncRNA from 1 species
AAUAUGUAGUUUUUGAACACAAAAAUAUGUAUUUUCUUCUUCUCUUCUUCGCACUAUUGACAAACUAUGAAUGUUAUUGUUUAUGGCUCAAAUCGGUAGAUGGUGAAAGCAAAGAAGGAACAAAAAAAAAUGUAACAGCCUAAAGAUCUUUCUAAUAGAUCAAACACAAACCCCAAAGAGAAAAAUGUGGUCGAGUUUUCACUACGAAAUUAGGAACUCUGAAUUAAAAAUAGAACACAAAAAUAAAAAUAAAAUUAAUCGAAAAAAAGACACAAAUGAAGAAAAACAUUAGAGCAGAAGAUGUUGCUCCCGAUUUUAUCAUCCUCUAUACAAACAUUUUUUUUCCUGGAAACUCUAAUAAUCUCUUUUUUUUUUCUUCUCUCUUAUUUUCAUCGAAUAAAUCUUCUAGACAAUCUUGAUCACGCUUAAAUCUUUUUGAUCUCUGUAAAUAAUCUAUGGACGAAGUCUGGUUUCUGAAUUUUCAAUCUUUUUAAAGUAAUGGAAACGACAUCGUUUUGAUAUUUGGGGGUUUACCUCUGAAAGAAUCAAUAGAAGGGUGGUGGUGGAGGAGAUGCAUAGGAUACUCCGAUAACCGGCGGUAAUGGCCCUUCAAAUUCAGGUGAUGGAGGUGGAGGAGAACUGUGAUGGACUGGCGGUGGCGGUGGCGGUGGCGGUGGGGAACUGUAAUGGAUUGAUGGUGGCGGUGGAGAACUGUAAUGGACGGAUGGUGGCGGCGGAGAGCUGUAAUGGAUUGCCGGUGGAGGAGGAGGUGAGUAUUCUAUGCAAGGAGGAGGUGGAGGUGGUUCGAUACAAGGAGGUGGGGGAGGAGGGGAAUAAUGUGGAGGCGGUGGUGAGUGAUGCGGUGGAGGUGGGGAUGAGUAUAUNNN